rnacentral:rRNA from 1 species
AUUGAACGCUGGCGGCAGGCCUAACACAUGCAAGUCGAGCGAGCGGCGGACGGGUGAGUAAUGUCUGGGAAACUGCCUGAUGGCGGGGGAUAACUACUGGAAACGGUAGCUAAUACCGCAUACCAUCAGAUGUGCCCAGAUGGGAUUAGCUAGUAGGUGGGGUAACGCCUCACCUAGGCGACGAUCCCUAGCUGGUCUGCGAGGAUGACCAGCCACGCUGGAACGAGGACACGGUCCAUACUCCUACGGAGGGCAGCAGUGGGGAAUAUUGCACAAUGGGCGCAAGCCUGAUGCAGCCAUGCCGCGUGGGUGAAGAAGGCCUUCGGGUUGUAAAGCACUUUCGGCGGGAAGGCGUUACCCGCAGAAGAAGCACCGGCUAACUCCGUGCCAGCAGCCGCGGUAAUAC